rnacentral:lncRNA from 1 species
CGUGGUCUCUGGAUCUCCGAAAAAAUGGUAGGAAAUCUACAAAUAUAAAAAUGUUAAAUCAGAAAAAGAGAUAACUGCAAUUACACAUCAUGAAUGCAAAAUAUACGUGUCGACUGAUCAGUAUUUUUUUCUCGACAAGAGAAAAAGCGCGAAAUCUGGAUAUAUAUGUGUGAAAACCGAAUUACUGAUUUAAGUAUAUGCGAAUAUUUAUACGCCAAAUUAAGAAAUGAAUAUA